UUGACCUCUACGCUAAAGAUUAUGAGAAGAAUUCUUUCUUCUCUUUUCUUCCUAAAACUCAUGCACCAAAUCUCUAUACUAGAGAUGUAAGAAUUUUAUCCAACUUUUGGAUAAAGAGAAGAGGAGAAACUCAUAUCUAAACAUGGAUAAAAGAAAAGAGAAGAGGUGUCCUAACAACCAACCUUUGGUUGUGUAAGAAAGAAG
rnacentral:lncRNA from 1 species